GGCGAACGCUGGCGGCGUGCUUAACACAUGCAAGUCGAACGGAAAGGCCUCUUUCGGGGGGUACUCGAGUGGCGAACGGGUGAGUAACACGUGAGUAACCUGCCCUUGACUUUGGGAUAACUUCAGGAAACUGGGGCUAAUACCGGAUAGGAGCUCCUGCUGCAUGGUGGGGGUUGGAAAGUUUCGGCGGUUGGGGAUGGACUCGCGGCUUAUCAGCUUGUUGGUGGGGUAGUGGCUUACCAAGGCUUUGACGGGUAGCCGGCCUGAGAGGGUGACCGGCCACAUUGGGACUGAGAUACGGCCCAGACUCCUACGGGAGGCAGCAGUGGGGAAUAUUGCACAAUGGGUGGAAGCCUGAUGUAGCAACGCCGUGUGCGGGAUGACGGCCUUCGGGUUGUAAACCGCUUUCGCUCAUGACGAAGCUUUGUGUGACGGUAGUGGGUAAAGAAGCACCGGCUAACUACGUG
rnacentral:rRNA from 1 species